AGUAACAAGCACGUUUCCCCCCCCAGCCCCCAUGACAUUUAUGGACAUCUAUAGGAGGUGUGUUAGGGAAAUAGUUAUCAGCUGCCACUGAAGUCUGCAACUGUAUGCCCGACACUUGGACAGGAUAGCCAGAUUUUAGGUGCUUGGUGAUCAGAAACUGUGUACUCUGGGAAUUGGGCAAAGAGAAAGACUAUGGAAGAGUAAUGUGGAUAUAAUCCAUAUUUCACUAUCACCCUCAUUGUGGAAAGCCAAUGUGAUCUUCAUGACACUACAAGACACACUUUAUCAGUAAAACAACAGGUUCAGCAAAGCAAGCAUUAACUACCAAUGAAUGUGCUGACUUCCAAAAGUGUUAACACUUCUGAAUCAAGGCCUAGGAGGAAGAAUUCUAUUAAAUCUUAUCUCUAGUAAAACAACAACAACAACAACAACAAAACACUGUGCCUAAUAUGGUCAAAGUCAGGCAACCUGGGAGAAUUUAAAAUGUGGGACUCACAACCAAACCUUCCAAACGACUUGCAAUACUAUAUAACACUGCCUUGGAUUAUCUCUGCCUAAAAUUAAAAAAAAAAGAACACUGUUUAAGGUUUUGUUUUUCCAGAGUUCUUUAUCACAAAUCCUCCCUGACUGCUGAGGGACAAAGGGUAGAAUCUGGUUUAUUUUAUACCUUCCCAGGAUAAAAUUAAUAAAUGUUGUGAGAAAAGUCCUGAAUAUUUCUGUAUUAACUACUGAAGAUUAAACUCUGUCCCCAUUGAAGUAAUCAGCAAAACAUCACUUGAUCUGAGUGGAUUGAGAUCUCCUCCUUCAGUAGCAGGCCUCAGAGACAGGUCAGACUACUCAACAGUUCCUUCAUUCCUCUUCCUUCACUUUUCCCAGAGCAGUUUUGUGAUGCUGUAAUCUGAUGGGAAUGUAUACAUCUCAAAACAGGAACAUGAUGGAGUUCUAAUUAUUCUGCAGUUGGAAGAGCUGAUAAAUGAAACUGCCCAUUUCCAAAAUAUGCAGAGUAUCUAAUGUGCAUCUGAUCCUGAAUUUCAAAUCAAUGGAGUUUAAUAUUUCACUGGUGAUCAUAAAUUUGAAAAUCAAUGUUGUCAAGGUUGACAAUACUCUCCUACUGAAGAGACAGCUACAGCCCAAUGAGAUUGAAAGCAAACAUUCAAAGAUGAACUAACAGAAGCUGUUUCAAAAGUUUUGUUCAUUGGUUUAAAGAAAUUAAUGUUAUUUUACAUAGUGACUUUAGAAAUUUACAUCUUAGGUUUUCAAGCCAGCAGAGCGAAGUACAGCCAUCACAAAACACAACCUAAAACACGAUUUCAGUAACUUGUGGUACGUAGGCUUCUUUGAAAAGGAGCUGUUAAGAUCCACAUCAACACUUACUGGAGGAAAAAACUUCUUGCUAUAGAUGUUCAAAACAGUGUACCGACAGGCAUCCAUCAAGAAGAUGUGAAACUUCACUGUGAAAAAUCGUUUUUUUUAUACCACAAGGUAUGUCUUUGCUGUGAUGGACUUAAGUCCACAGCCUUCCGUUCCCUAAUGUGCUCCUUUCAUGCAUACUGUCAACAACAAGAAGAUGGUUUAUUUGAUCAGAAGGAGCACUGAUGUGGUGUCAUGGGCUGAUCCCAAACUAAUCCAAAACAAAGCGUUCUUGUAUUUUCUUGACUUCUAACAUCUUCACAACUUUGUGAAGAAAGGAAAAGAUUUGUCCCUGAGUACAAGUCAGUUUAUAGCAUGGAAUGGAAGGAGUCUUUUUCUGUGUUUUGAUCAAAAGAAGAGAUCAUAGGAGAUCUAUCACGGUAUCGAAGAAGACUACUGCAGAACUGCAGAAAUCAGAAAGCAAAGAAUCAUUUUACAGCUACUUAGAUACAUUCCUGAACAACACACUCUGGAUUGCUGCAAGUCUUUAGAGAGGUGAAAACUUGUAUCCAUGGCAAUCAUACCUUCAGAUCCUGAAUUCUUCAUUCCAGAGAGCACAUAAGAGCUUGAAGAUUAAUCCAUUCUUGCUUUCAAAGUGACUGAACAUAUGGUAACCCAGAAGCUGUGAGAAAUCAUUGUUUGGAUACCUGGGCUGCUCCAAUAGUAAUGCCUCCUAUUUUAUUAUGUUGAUCCAUGACAGAAGAGGUUGAACCUUCCCAAAAAUAUUUCAUUACAUUUUGUUGUCAUAUGACAGAUGGCAACAGAGGGGCAGUCUGAGAGAAUGGCUUCUGACAUGAAAGUGCAUAUGAAGCAAAAGUGUGUCACUGAAUUCUUCCACACAGAAAAAAAUGACAUUCUGACAUUCAUCUACACUUGCUGAACUUUGAUGGAGAUCAAACAGUGGAUAUGACCACAGUGAGGGCUGGGUGGUGCACUUCAGUAGCAGUGGUGACAGCAACAGCUCACCUCCACUGGUGCAGAUUUUUACGAGCAUGGCAUGCAGCUUCUUGUCCAUUUCUAGUGAAAAUGCAUAGAUAAUGGUAGUGUCUAUGCAGGAAAACAGUGUUUUGUAGUUAAGAAUUUGCUCCAUCAAAUAAUGUUAUUGUGCUCUUUGUAUCUUUUGUAGUUUCCAGAGAAGUCAAUUGGAGGCAUUACUUUCCAACUGAUCUAACUAUUUCUUCAAUAAAUAUUCUAGCAUCCUU
ensembl:lncRNA